GACGAACGCUGGCGGCGUGCCUAAUACAUGCAAGUUGAGCGCUGAAGGUUGGUACUUGUACCAACUGGAUGAGCAGCGAACGGGUGAGUAACGCGUGGGGAAUCUGCCUUUGAGCGGGGGACAACAUUUGGAAACGAAUGCUAAUACCGCAUAAAAACUUUAAACACAAGUUUUAAGUUUGAAAGAUGCAAUUGCAUCACUCAAAGAUGAUCCCGCGUUGUAUUAGCUAGUUGGUGAGGUAAAGGCUCACCAAGGCGAUGAUACAUAGCCGACCUGAGAGGGUGAUCGGCCCAAUUGGGACUGAGAAACGGCCCAAACUCCUACGGGAGGCAGCAGUAGGGAAUCUUCGGCAAUGGACGAAAGUCUGACCGAGCAACGCCGCGUGAGUGAAGAAGGUUGUCGGAUCGUAAAACUCUGUUGGUAGAGAAGAACGUUGGUGAGAGUGGAAAGCUCAUCAAGUGACGGUAACUACCCAGAAAGGGACGGCUAACUACGUG
rnacentral:rRNA from 1 species